rnacentral:rRNA from 1 species
UUGAACGCUGGCGGCAUGCCUUACACAUGCAAGUCGAACGGUAACAGGUCUUCGGAUGCUGACGAGUGGCGAACGGGUGAGUAAUACAUCGGAACGUGCCCGAUCGUGGGGGAUAACGAAGCGAAAGCUUUGCUAAUACCGCAUAAGAUCUACGGAUGAAAGCAGGGGACCGCGAGGCCUUGCGCGAACGGAGCGGCCGAUGGCAGAUUAGGUAGUUGGUGGGAUAAAAGCUUACCAAGCCGACGAUCUGUAGCUGGUCUGAGAGGACGACCAGCCACACUGGGACUGAGACACGGCCCAGACUCCUACGGGAGGCAGCAGUGGGGAAUUUUGGACAAUGGGCGAAAGCCUGAUCCAGCCAUGCCGCGUGCAGGAUGAAGGCCUUCGGGUUGUAAACUGCUUUUGUACGGAACGAAAAGACUCUGGUUAAUACCUGGGGUCCAUGACGGUACCGUAAGAAUAAGCACCGGCUAACUACGU